UACAGAGACUGCAAGCGUAUUCGGAUUCACUGGGCGUAAAGGGUGCGCAGGCGGCCAAGUGUGUCAGGUGUGAAAUCCCGAGGCUUAACCUCGGAACUGCGCCUGAAACUACUUGGCUAGAGUACUGAAGAGGGUAACGGAAUUCACGGUGUAGCAGUGAAAUGCGUAGAUAUCGUGAGGAACACCAGAGGCGAAGGCGGUUACCUGGACAGUUACUGACGCUCAGGCACGAAAGCGUGGGGAGCAAACAGG
rnacentral:rRNA from 1 species